UAGGGAAUCUUCCACAAUGGACGAAAGUCUGAUGGAGCAACGCCGCGUGAGUGAUGAAGGGUUUCGGCUCGUAAAACUCUGUUGUUGGAGAAGAACAGGUGUGAGAGUAACUGUUCACAUCUUGACGGUAUCCAACCAGAAAGCCACGGCUAACUACGUGCCAGCAGCCGCGGUAAUACGUAGGUGGCAAGCGUUGUCCGGAUUUAUUGGGCGUAAAGCGAGCGCAGGCGGUUUCUUAGGUCUGAUGUGAAAGCCUUCGGCUUAACCGGAGAAGUGCAUCGGAAACCAGGAGACUUGAGUGCAGAAGAGGACAGUGGAACUCCAUGUGUAGCGGUGAAAUGCGUAGAUAUAUGGAAGAACACCAGUGGCGAAGGCGGCUGUCUGGUCUGUAACUGACGCUGAGGCUCGAAAGCAUGGGUAGCGAACAGGAUUAGAUACCCUGGUAGUCCAUGCCGUAAACGAUGAGUGCUAAGUGUUGGAGGGUUUCCGCCCUUCAGUGCUGCAGCUAACGCAUUAAGCACUCCGCCUGGGGGAGUACGACCGCAA
rnacentral:rRNA from 1 species